CGGCCACAUCACGUUGAAACAUUAUUUUCCCGUACGAUCAUCGAAGUUAAGCAACGUCGAACCUGGUCAGUAACUAGAUGGGUGUCCACUUGAGAAUGCCAGGUGCUGUAAG